CUUGGAACCAUGAGCAGCAGGAAAGCAUAGACACUGUUGUUUCCUGCAUGUCCUGUAUUUCAGUGUGACGCUGGAUGGAAGAACAAAGGAACCAGUAUCUCUACAGAUCAAGAUUCAUCAAAUGACCAUGCCCACUGUCCUUCUGGAAGCAUCAGGUUUGUGGCAUGUUACACUGGAAACCUAAGAAACAGCACUGCAGCAUAAGAAGGUGCAGCAGUCCAGCUUGCUGGCACUGGCACAGUCAUUACUGUUACCAGGAAAAGAAUGGAAAGAAGAGGCAGAAAUACCAAAACUUAGUUUUGGUAACAGGAUACAAUUAGAAGGAGCAAAAUUAUUUUCAGCUUCAAGAUUAUAGGAGCAUACAUGAACUCCAGGGUGGGGGCUGAGAAAAGGUGCUGUGAAUUGGCCCUGCACACCAGGUAAUGAGUCACUAGAGAAAAUGUGCUUACAUUGUGUUUCAUGUGUGCAGGGGACUCAUGAUCUCUUGUUGGUCUGGUGAUAAUUGCUCACAAUUUGCCAAACUUUGGAGUUUAAAUUAAAAAAACAGGUACACAACCCACCUCCACUUCUGUCCAGGACUUUAUAAGAAGUUCUAGUUUCUAGUGCCAUUGAUUAAACCAUUAAUACUCUCCUGGUACUAGGUUUACAUGCACAGCUUAGGAAACAGAAUAUGUUUUCUGGCACAAUGGAAAAAGGCCAAACAUUUUUCUCCAGUUAUUUCUGAAAGAAGCUAGAAGAAAAAUAAUCCUCUUUUUAUGUUCAUUUAGACGUACUCCUUCAUGCAAAGAGAUGGUGCAUUAAGUGGGAAGCUAGUAAACCUCAGAUCCGACAGUGGCUUUAAUUUUUCAUCUAUGUCUUUAUUAAGUUUUAAUUCCUCACUGUGAGACUCAAGCAUCAUAUUCUCUGCAACAGAUGGGCUUGCUGAGGAUCACAGUAGAGUGGUUCAAGCCAGGCAAUUCUUCACACAGAAAAAUACAGUAUGGUGUAAGACAGGCAAGCAGCUCAGCAGACAGUUGAAGGUUUUGCCUAUUUUUGUCAAGGUAGUUAUCUUUCAUUGUAUUCAUGUAUAUGUAUUGUAUUGCUGUAUGAAUGCUGCAGAUUGCUCCAACACUCCAACUACCUGGGUCACUGCAAAUGGUCAAUUUCAAUACUGCACUGACCUGUGUGUGCUACAUAAGAUCCUGGAAACAAUGCUUAUGGCAAUGCCAGGAGUAGGCCCUAGGUUUGGACCUGCCAAAGAUGGAUACCUACUUCUAAGCUGCUCAUUCUAGACUCAUUGAAAUAGACUAUGGAGAGAAAUACACAGUUCUAUGUAGCAGGCCCAGGGCCUGCAAGGCCUCCUUGGCGGUCAGAAGCCUGAGCUAGGAAAUGCCAAGUCAUGAUGACCGGGCCUUAG